AUUGAACGCUGGCGGCAGGCCUAACACAUGCAAGUCGAGCGGGAACUUCGGUUCUAGCGGCGGACGGGUGAGUAAUGCGUAGGAAGCUACCCGACAGAGGGGGAUACCAGUUGGAAACGACUGUUAAUACCGCAUAAUGUCUACGGACCAAAGUGUGGGACCUUCGGGCCACAUGCUGUCGGAUGCGCCUACGUGGGAUUAGCUAGUUGGUGAGGUAAUGGCUCACCAAGGCGACGAUCCCUAGCUGGUUUGAGAGGAUGAUCAGCCACACUGGAACUGAGACACGGUCCAGACUCCUACGGGAGGCAGCAGUGGGGAAUAUUGGACAAUGGGCGAAAGCCUGAUCCAGCCAUGCCGCGUGUGUGAAGAAGGCCUUCGGGUUGUAAAGCACAUUCAGUAGGGAGGAAGAGUUGAGUGUUAAUAGUACUCAGCUUUGACGUUACCUACAGAAGAAGCACCGGCUAACUCUGUGCCAGCAGCCGCAGUAACAC
rnacentral:rRNA from 1 species